AUUGAACGCUGGCGGCAGGCCUAACACAUGCAAGUCGAGCGGAUGAUGGGAGCUUGCUCCUGGAUUCAGCGGCGGACGGGUGAGUAAUGCCUAGGAAUCUGCCUGGUAGUGGGGGACAACGUUUCGAAAGGAACGCUAAUACCGCAUACGUCCUACGGGAGAAAGCAGGGGACCUUCGGGCCUUGCGCUAUCAGAUGAGCCUAGGUCGGAUUAGCUUGUUGGUGAGGUAAUGGCUCACCAAGGCGACGAUCCGUAACUGGUCUGAGAGGAUGAUCAGUCACACUGGAACUGAGACACGGUCCAGACUCCUACGGGAGGCAGCAGUGGGGAAUAUUGGACAAUGGGCGAAAGCCUGAUCCAGCCAUGCCGCGUGUGUGAAGAAGGUCUUCGGAUUGUAAAGCACUUUAAGUUGGGGGGAAGGGUUGUAGAUUAAUACUCUGCAAUUUUGACGUUACCGACAGAAUAAGCACCGGCUAACUCUGUGCCAGCCGCCGCUGUAAUAC
rnacentral:rRNA from 1 species